CAGUCGAACGGAGCUGAGAGGAGCUUGCUUUUCUUAGCUUAGUGGCGAACGGGUGAGUAACGCGUGAGUAACCUGCCCUGGAGUGGGGGACAACAGUUGGAAACGACUGCUAAUACCGCAUAAGCCCACGGCCCGGCAUCGGGCUGCGGGAAAAGGAUUUAUUCGCUUUAGGAUGGACUCGCGUCCAAUUAGCUAGUUGGUGAGGUAACGGCUUACCAAGGCGACGAUCAGUAGCCGGACUGAGAGGUUGAUCGGCCACAUUGGGACUGAGACAUGGCCCAGACUCCUACGGGAGGCAGCAGUGGGGAAUAUUGCACAAUGGAGGAAACUCUGAUGCAGCGAUGCCGCGUGAGGGAAGAAGGUUUUAGGAUUGUAAACCUCUGUCUUCAGGGACGAAAAAAAAGACGGUACCUGAGGAGGAAGCUCCGGCUAACUACGUGCCAGCAGCCGCGGUAAUACGUAGGGAGCGAGCGUUGUCCGGAAUUACUGGGUGUAAAGGGAGCGUAGGCGGGAUCGCAAGUCAGAUGUGAAAACUAUGGGCUUAACCCAUAAACUGCAUUUGAAACUGUGGUUCUUGAGUGAAGUAGAGGUAAGCGGAAUUCCUAGUGUAGCGGUGGAAUGCGUAGAUAUCGGGAGGAACACCAGUGGCGAAGGCGGCCUACUGGGCACCAACUGACGCUGAGGCUCGAAAGUGUGGGUAGCAAACAGGAUUAGAUACCCUGGUAGUCCACACCGUAAACGAUGAUUACUAGGUGUUG
rnacentral:rRNA from 1 species